GCCCUAGUAACGGCGAGUGAAGCGGCAACAGCUCAAAUUUGAAAGCUAGCCUUCGGGUUCGCAUUGUAAUUUGUAGAGGAUGAUUUGGGGAAGCCGCCUGUCUAAGUUCCUUGGAACAGGACGUCAUAGAGGGUGAGAAUCCCGUAUGUGACAGGAAAUGGCACCCUAUGUAAAUCUCCUUCGACGAGUCGAGUUGUUUGGGAAUGCAGCUCUAAAUGGGAGGUAAAUUUCUUCUAAAGCUAAAUAUUGGCGAGAGACCGAUAGCGCACAAGUAGAGUGAUCGAAAGAUGAAAAGCACUUUGGAAAGAGAGUUAAAAAGCACGUGAAAUUGUUGAAAGGGAAGCGCUUGCAAUCAGACUUGUUUAAACUGUUCGGCCGGUCUUCUGACCGGUUUACUCAGUUUGGACAGGCCAGCAUCAGUUUCGGCGGCCGGAUAAAGGCUCUGGGAAUGUGGCCUCCACUUCGGUGGAGGUGUUAUAGCCCAGGGUGUAAUACGGCCAGCCGGGACUGAGGUCCGCGCUUCGGCUAGGAU
rnacentral:rRNA from 1 species